AUUGAACGCUGGCGGCAUGCCUAAUACAUGCAAGUCGAACGAGUGGCGGACGGGUGAGCAAUGUCUGGGAAACUGGCUGACGGAGGGGGAUAACUACUGGAAACGGUAGAUAAUACCGCUAACCAUCCGAUGUGCCCAGAUGGGAUUAGCUUGUGGGUGGGGUAACGGCUCACCAAGGAGACGAUCCCUAGCGGGUCUGAGAGGCUGACCAGCCACACUGUAACUGAGACACGGUCCAGACUCCUACGGGAGGCAGCAGUGGGGAAUAUUGCACAAUGGGCGCAAGCCUGAUGCAGCCAUGCCGCGUGUAUGAAGAAGGCCUUCGGGUUGUAAAGUACUUUCAGCGGGGAGGCGUUAUCCGAAGAAGAAGCACCGGCUAACUCCGUGCCAGCAGCCGCGGUAAUUC
rnacentral:rRNA from 1 species